rnacentral:rRNA from 1 species
UAGAGUUUUGAUCAUGGCUCAGAGUGAACGCUGGCGGUAGGCCUAACACAUGCAAGUCGAACGGCAGCACAGGAGAGCUUGCUCUCUGGGUGGCGAGUGGCGGACGGGUGAGGAAUACAUCGGAAUCUACUUUUUCGUGGGGGAUAACGUAGGGAAACUUACGCUAAUACCGCAUACGACCUACGGGUGAAAGCAGGGGAUCUUCGGACCUUGCGCGAUUGAAUGAGCCGAUGUCGGAUUAGCUAGUUGGCGGGGUAAAGGCCCACCAAGGCGACGAUCCGUAGCUGGUCUGAGAGGAUGAUCAGCCACACUGGAACUGAGACACGGUCCAGACUCCUACGGGAGGCAGCAGUGGGGAAUAUUGGACAAUGGGCGCAAGCCUGAUCCAGCCAUACCGCGUGGGUGAAGAAGGCCUUCGGGUUGUAAAGCCCUUUUGUUGGGAAAGAAAUCCAGCUGGCUAAUACCCGGUUGGGAUGACGGUACCCAAAGAAUAAGCACCGGCUAACUUCGUGCCAGCAGCCGCGGUAAUACGAAGGGUGCAAGCGUUACUCGGAAUUACUGGGCGUAAAGCGUGCGUAGGUGGUCGUUUAAGUCCGUUGUGAAAGCCCUGGGCUCAACCUGGGAACUGCAGUGGAUACUGGGCGACUAGAGUGUGGUAGAGGGUAGCGGAAUUCCUGGUGUAGCAGUGAAAUGCGUAGAGAUCAGGAGGAACAUCCAUGGCGAAGGCAGCUACCUGGACCAACACGACACGAGGCACGAAAGCGGGGGCA